rnacentral:rRNA from 1 species
CACCGGCGGCUCGAGUGGUGGCCACUUUUAUUGGGUCUAAAGCGUCCGUAGCCGGCUUGGCAAGUCCCCUGGGAAAUCUGGCGGCUUAACCGUCAGGCGUCCAGAGGAUACUGCCAGGCUUGGGACCGGGAGAGGUGAGAGGUACCUCAGGGGUAGCGGUGAAAUGUGUUGAUCCUUGGAGGACCACCUAUGGCGAAGGCACUUGUCUGGAACGGGUCCGACGGUGAGGGACGAAAGCCAGGGGCGCGAACCGG